rnacentral:rRNA from 1 species
AUUGAACGCUGGCGGCAGGCUUAACACAUGCAAGUCGAGCGGAGAUGAGGUGCUUGCACCUUAUCUUAGCGGCGGACGGGUGAGUAAUGCUUAGGAAUCUGCCUAUUAGUGGGGGACAACAUUCCGAAAGGAAUGCUAAUACCGCAUACGUCCUACGGGAGAAAGCAGGGGAUCUUCGGACCUUGCGCUAAUAGAUGAGCCUAAGUCGGAUUAGCUAGUUGGUGGGGUAAAGGCCUACCAAGGCGACGAUCUGUAGCGGGUCUGAGAGGAUGAUCCGCCACACUGGGACUGAGACACGGCCCAGACUCCUACGGGAGGCAGCAGGGGGGAAUAUUGGACAAUGGGGGAAACCCUGAUCCAGCCAUGCCGCGUGUGUGAAGAAGGCCUUAUGGCUGUAAAGCACUUUAAGCGAGGAGGAGGCUACUGAGACUAAUACUCUUGGAUAGUGGACGUUACUCGCAGAAUAAGCACCGGCUAACUCUGUGCCAGCCGCCGCAGUAAGAC